UACGUAGGAGACGAGCGUUGUCCGGAAUUACUGGGCGUAAAGCGCGUGUAGGCGGACAGGCAAGUCUGCGGUGAAAGCUCCUGGCUUAACCGGGAGUGGUCGGUGGAAACUGCUCGUCUGGAGGACGGUAGAGGUAGGUAGAAUUCCCGGUGUAGUGGUGAAAUGCGUAGAGAUGUGGAGGAACACCAAUGGCGAAGGCAGCCUUCUGGGCCAACACUGACGCUCAUGCACGAAAGCGUGGGGAGCAAACAGG
rnacentral:rRNA from 1 species